rnacentral:rRNA from 1 species
CCGAGUUGAAAACCAAAAUAACGACUCUCAGCAACGGAUAUCUUGGCUCUUGCAACGAUGAAGAACGCAGCGAAAUGCGAUACCUAGUGUGAAUUGCAGAAUUCCGCGAAUCAUCGAGUCUUUGAACGCAAGUUGCGCCCGAGGCUUGUCCCGAGGGCAUGCCUGCCUGAGCGUCACCGCACUCCCACCUGGACACCCUCCAGUGUGGAAUUGGCCGUCCGGGACUCCUUGCCUCAGGGCUUUGGGUUGUGGUGGGCUGAAAUCUAGCUAUCUGGCCGUGGCCAAAGAGAGGGGCUGCGAGAAGGUGAUUCGCUCCUUUGCGGGGCGGAGUCUAAUUGGACAGCGCCUCUCCCUUUGGUGGUCCAGACGGUGGCACUCAGUGUGCCAUUGGAUGGGGGGUGCAUUUUGCAUCUCCCCUCCCUUUACAGCUUGGACCUCAGAUCAGGCAAGAUUACCCGCUGAGUUUAAGCAUAUCA